AUUGAACGCUGGCGGCAGGCCUAACACAUGCCAGUCGAGCGGAUGAAGGGAGCUUGCUCCUGGAUUCAGCGGCGGACGGGUGAGUAAUGCCUAGGAAUCUGCCUGGUUGUGGGGGAUAACGUCCGGAAACGGGCGCUAAUACCGCAUACGUCCUGAGGGAGUAAGUGGGGGAUCUUCGGACCUCACGCUAUCAGAUGAGCCUAGGUCGGAUUAGCUAGUUGGUGGGGGAAAGGCCUACCAAGGCGACGAUCCGUAACUGGUCUGAGAGGAUGAUCAGUCACACUGGAACUGAGACACGGUACAGACUACUACGGGAGGCAGCAGUGGGGAAUAUUGGACAAUGGGCGAAAGCCUGAUACAGCCAUGCCGCGUGUGUGAAGAAGGUCUUCGGAUUGUAAAGCACUUUAAGUUGGGAGGAAGGGCAGUAAGUUAAUACCUUGCUGUAUUGACGUUACCAACAGAAUAAGCACCGGCUAACUUCGUG
rnacentral:rRNA from 1 species